AUGGGCACGGCCACACGCGGUCCCCACGGCGCUGCCAGCGAGGAGGGGACACCCCACAAAGGGUGCUGCUGGGGGGGGGCUCUGGGGGGGGGCAAAUCCAUCGGAGGCUGCCCCGAGCACAUCCCAGCGGCUCCCAGCUGCCCGGCGAGGGGCUGCACCGGCACCAAAUGGCUUCCAGGGCGCCGGACCGAGCCGGCAGCUGAGCAUUCCCGGUGCCUUCGCAGCUGCCCAGGGAGGGGCUGGGGAGGGGACAGGGGGCUGGGGGGGCACCGGGCACCCUCCUGCUGGGUGGGUGUCACCCCGUGCCCUGUGCCGCUCGGUGCCGCCAGGAAUGCCUUUGCCCAUGCAGCUGCUCCGGCUCGGCACGCGCCGGCUGCUGGCACCAACUGCAGCCCCCGGGGCCCCUCCCCAGCCAAGGCACCGAAGGGACCGAAGGGAGCAGCGCCGUGGAAAGCCCCCCGAGGGGCUGAGCCAGGCUGGCAGCAGCCGUUAGACCUGGGGGUGUCCCCAUGGAGCGUGGCGGACCCCCACAAUGUGCCAAGCAGGAGCUGUGCUCCAAGGAUGGGGCACAAGCCCCGGGUGGGCUGCACGGCCCUGGGGGGGGGGAUGCUCCCAGUGCAGGAUGGGGGCAGCGUGCUGGGGGUACUGGGGGUACUGGGGGUGCUGACCACGGCCGUCUGUGUCCCGAUCCUAAAAGCCAUGGCCCCAGAGCACCCCAAUCAGGGGCGUCUGGGUGCAAUGGGGACGAGGGGCGCAGGAGAGGAGCCUCACCCGAGACCACUCCUGGGGAGAGGUUUUGGGCAGGGACCAACUGCUGUGGCGAGCGGCCACGGGAGAACCGGUGCCCACUGCCCCAAAACCCCCCUGGUGGACUGGGUGUGUGUGUAUGGGGACACACUGGGCGGACUGGGGCCGGGCAGGGCGGUGCUGGGCAGCCCCCCAGGCGGGGUGGGAACUGCUGCAUUGCACCCCGGUGAUCAAAGAGGUGGUGAUGGACGGAUCUGGAGCAGGCAGGCAGCGAGGGGAGGCUGCGAGCCCCCCCACCUCCCCGCAGCAUCCCCCCCGUGCCGUGCCGUGGGGCCGUGCCGAGCCCCCAAAGCGCGUGGGGCGCAGGAGGGGGCAGCGGCACAGCCCCCAGCCCAGCAUUUUAGGGUGGCCGUGCUCCUGCUGGGUCCCCCCAUGGCCGUGCCCUGUCCGUGUCCGGCGCAGCCCCUCCAGGGGCUGGGAAGGGUCUGGGGGCAGAGGGGGAGCAGGGAUGGGGUUGGGGGCUGUGAGCGUGGCACGGCCUCGGCCACGUGCACCGCGUGCCGGCAGCGCCCCGGGCACCGUGCACAAACCGGGACGGACCCCAGCAGCAGGGGCUCUGGCACAGCUUCACCCAUCGGGGGGUCGGGGGGAUGCUCGGGGGGGUGA
rnacentral:lncRNA from 1 species